GUACUCACUUCAGCAGCACAUACACUAAAACUGGAAUGACACAGGGAAGAUUAGCAUGGCUCCUGUGCAGAGAUGACAUGCAAAUUCAUAAAUCAUUCCAUAUUUUU